GGCUACUGAUAGGGAAGUAAUUUGCCAACCCUUCAUCCAUUUUUCAAGCGAUCAGCUAUGCUUUCACAAUUGGCAGCACUAAUUUGUCUUCUCACUGUUAAUUUCACAAUUGCUUUCACUAUUUAAACUUAUCUACUUAAAUAUAUGCUUCUAGGAUCACUCCUGGUCUGAUUUGUACAAAUAUUGAAGUCAAUAUCAUUGUUCAAUUUCAUCCCUGAUAAUUCUAUACUUCUGUUUUAUUUAUUUUUUCAUUUUUCACGUAUCAUUGAUUUCACUAGAGAUAUUCCAAUUUUAGACUGGCAUUGGUUUGUGCUAUAAGCAUAUAAGUAUCCAUAUAGUUCCAUUGAUAUUUUCAUCUGGUAGCUCUGAAAUUUGAAUGAGCAUCAAUCUCCCUAAUAUGAUUACUUGAUGCUCUGAAAUAUCUUAACAACUAGGAAACUUGGUAUCAGUUUUACAGUUCUCUUUGAACUACUAGUUUCAUAUUCACAUGAUAAUGCAGGAUGAAGAUGAUGAUGACAUUGAAGAAAUUUCAAAUGCUUCAGAGGAUAAUGGAAGUGAUGAUGAGUGGACUGCUUGACCCUAAUCUAAGUUGUGGUUGCUAGGCACAAGAAAUGACAAGGCAAUGUCAUGCAAGUGAUGUGAUGAUACCCUUUAUUUCUGUCACUAAGAACGUGACAACUUGGAUUUGCUUACCAUGUGGUUUUGAUGGAAUUAUGAGAAUAGGUAUAAUACCAAUAUCAUGAGGUUAAGAGGAAGAGAGAAUAUAAUAUGUUUAAUGUAUACUGUUGAAAGUGAUGUCAUUUAACUCUUUAUCUCAUUUGGGAGUCAUUUGAUGUAUUCUAAUCAAUUUUAAAGUGAUGUCAUUAGUAGAA